rnacentral:rRNA from 1 species
ACGCUGGCGGCGUGCUUAACACAUGCAAGUCGAACGAUGAAGCCUAGCUUGCUAGGUGGAUUAGUGGCGAACGGGUGAGUAAUACGUGAGUAACCUACCUUUAACUCUGGGAUAAGCCUGGGAAACUGGGUCUAAUACCGGAUACGACCAAUCUCCGCAUGGGGUGUUGGUGGAAAGCGUUAUGUAGUGGUUAUAGAUGGGCUCACGGCCUAUCAGCUUGUUAGUGAGGUAACGGCUCACCAAGGCGACGACGGGUAGCCGGCCUGAGAGGGUGACCGGCCACACUGGGACUGAGACACGGCCCAGACUCCUACGGGAGGCAGCAGUGGGGAAUAUUGCACAAUGGGCGCAAGCCUGAUGCAGCGACGCCGCGUGAGGGAUGACGGCCUUCGGGUUGUAAACCUCUGUUAGCAGGGAAGAAGAGAAAUUGACGGUACCUGCAGAGAAAGCGCCGGCUAACUACGUGCCAGCAGCCGCGGUAAUACGUAGGGCGCGAGCGUUGUCCGGAAUUAUUGGGCGUAAAGAGCUUGUAGGCGGUUUGUCGCGUCUGCUGUGAAAGGCCGGGGCUUAACCCCGUGUAUUGCAGUGGGUACGGGCAGACUAGAGUGCAGUAGGGGAGACUGGAAUUCCUGGUGUAGCGGUGGAAUGCGCAGAUAUCAGGAGGAACACCGAUGGCGAAGGCAGGUCUCUGGGCUGUAACUGACGCUGAGAAGCGAAAGCAUGGGGAGCGAACAGGAUUAGAUACCCUGGUAGUCCAUGCCGUAAACGUUGGGCACUAGGUGUGGGGGACAUUCCACGUUUUCCGCGCCGUAGCUAACGCAUUAAGUGCCCCGCCUGGGGAGUACGGCCGCAAGGCUAAAACUCAAAGAAAUUGACGGGGGCCCGCACAAGCGGCGGAGCAUGCGGAUUAA